CCUACGGGGGGCUGCAGUGAGGAAUAUUGGUCAAUGGGCGUAAGCCUGAACCAGCCAAGCCGCGUGAGGGAGGAAGGCGCAGAGCGUCGCAGACCUCUUUUGCCGGGGGACAAAAGGCCGGACGUGUCCGGGUCUGAGGGUACCCGGAGAAAAAGCAUCGGCGAACUCCGUGCCAGCAGCCGCGGUAAUACGGAGGAUGCGAGCGGUAUCCGGAUUCAGUGGGUUUAAAGGGUGCGCAGGCGGGCCUUUAAGCCGGCGGUGAAAUCGCGGGGCUCAACCCCGCCGAGCCGUCGGAACUGGGGGCCUUGAGUGCGGCGGAGGCAUGCGGAAUGCGCGGUGUAGCGGUGAAAUGCAUAGAUAUCGCGCAGAACCCCGAUUGCGAAGGCAGCGUGCCGUGCCGCCACUGACGCUGAGGCACGAAAGCGCGGGGAUCGAACAGGAUUAGAUACCCGGGUAGUC
rnacentral:rRNA from 1 species